rnacentral:rRNA from 1 species
UCUGGUGAUUUGAGCGGUGUGGAACUACCCUUUACCAUUCCGAACAGGGCCGUAAAACGCACCAGCGGUGACGAUAGCCGUCGGGCAACUGACUGUGAAAAUAGCUCAUCGCCAGAU